AAAGGAUAAAAUCGAUUUAACUUUAUCAGUUUUUUUCCCAGGAAUAGGAAUAGAUAUUUAGAAAAUAGGAACACUCUAUUGAAAAUUUGAAGGCAAUAGAAAAGGGGUUAUAUGUGUAGUCAUCUGAUGAUGAUGAGAUUGGCGGUCACGCUGAAGAAACAGAGAACAAAUAUAUAAACUUAUAACUUCUUUUCCAAGUAAGGUCCAGCAAUAUGUAUAUGCCAUAUAGCUGCAUAGCAUAACAGGCCACAUCUUUAAAGUUUGUUUUUUUUAUUGGGAUUAUGGAGGAGCUGCUCCCUCUGUUCUGCAGCAUCAACCUCUCCAAAGUGAGUCUCCGGAAUCCAGUUCCCCGUCUUCGAGUCUUUCAUCCAAAAAGCUUGCUUAUGUUCACCAUCAUACCUUGCUGCACUAUUAUUGACAGUUCUACCGCCUGAUUCUGUUGUUGUUGUUGUCCUCAACGUCGUCGCUGCCCCCUUCAGCCCUCUUACACUCUCAGCUGCAGCCUUAUACGAUCGCCUGUUACAAUUAUAAACAAAACCCUAGAUAACAAUUCAGACACUAACCUCAAAAUAAAAUAAUUAGGAAUAUUGCACUUGACAUAUUAUACGAAAUUAAACAAAGAUAUAAUUCUGAUUAAAACUCAUAAUUCCAACCUGAGAAGAAGAGAAGAUAUUUUAGGAACCUUAGCCAUGACUUAGAGAACGUGAAUUAGACAGAGAUGUAUAGGCGUAAGGUUUAGUUGGGAUCUUUGAAGAACUUCUGGCAUAUAUAUAUAGGCGUACGGUUUUAUGAGGAUGAGGGAAUAUAUAGUUAUCUUAACUAAUUUAAAAAUUGUGACGCGAUUGUUAUUAAAAAAAAAUAGU
rnacentral:lncRNA from 1 species